AACGAACGCUGGCGGCGUGGAUAAGACAUGCAAGUCGAACGCUGAUUCCGGUGUAGCAAUACAUCGGAGUUGGAGUGGCGCAAGGGUGCGUAACACGUGGGUAAUUUGCCGUGAAGUUGGGGAUAAUCCCGCGAAAGCGGGACUAAUACCGGAUGUGGUCCCGAAGAGGCAUCUCUUUGUGACUAAAGCUGGGGAUCCGCAAGGACCUGGCGCUUCAUGAUAAGCCCGCGGCCUAUCAGCUAGUUGGUGGGGUAACGGCUCACCAAGGCUAAGACGGGUAGCUGGUCUGAGAGGACGACCAGCCACACUGGAACUGAGACACGGUCCAGACACCUACGGGUGGCAGCAGUCGAGAAUUUUUCUCAAUGGGCGCAAGCCUGAAGGAGCGACGCCGCGUGGGGGAUGAAGGGUUUCGAUCCGUAAACCCCUGUCAUUUGUGAACAAUGCUCACUGUUUAAGAGAUGGUGAGUUGAUAGUAAUGAAAGAGGAAGGGACGGCUAA
rnacentral:rRNA from 1 species